rnacentral:sRNA from 2 species
CACGACGGAGCGCCGAGUCCUGCCAGCCGUUGAGGGGUUCGCACGUCACUACGCCUUGGCAGGAGCGGGGGACCCAUAGUGGUCUCUAAGAGGCCUUGGGGUGAAGUCGCGAACCCUUCGAUUGCGACCGGGCAUUCUCCUGCCCGAACCCGACAGCUCACCUCGCAGGCGGCUGGAGAGGUUAU